CCAGGCAGCAACCUGAUCAAUUCAUUCACACCAUGGUGCUAAUAGCUAAUGUUAGGUUCAUAUUAAUUUACCCAGGAAUAUCUGAAUUCCAGGCUUUAGGACUAGGCAUUAAACCAAAGUGGUGACUUUCAAUGGAGGGCUAAUACAUACUGAAGCAGACAGACUGGAGGGAAAGAAAUUUUGGAUAAAGUGGGUCCCACAGCACUGCCUUUCAUAUUGCAUACAGUAAGCAAACACCUACUUUGGUUACCAUAAUGGGAAUGCUGACUUUUAAGAAAUUAAGAAAUGUAUCCAUGAACAUGGCUAUCAGUUUCUCAGAUGUCUGCUCACCUUCUUUUCAUUUUGCCUCUCUCCUUUCCUACGUUGGGCCUGAUUUUCAGGGGAAAGUCUAAACUAGUAGCUUACUAAUUUAGGAGUACUGGUGCAGCUACGAUCCAGACAGCAGCCUGUUCUCUGAGCUUCUCCAUUCCAUGGCUUAUCCAGACUUCUCAUUUAUCACUCUCUGGGU
rnacentral:lncRNA from 1 species